AUUGAACGCUGGCGGCAGGCCUAACACAUGCAAGUCGAACGAGUGGCGGACGGGUGAGUAAUGUCUGGGAAACUGCCCGAUGGAUGGGGAUACCUACUGGAAACGGUAGCUAAUCCCGCAUACCAUCGGAUGUGCCCAGAUGGGAUUGGCUAGUAGGUGGGUUAACGGCUCACCUGGGCCACGAUCCCUAGCUGGUCUGAGGGGAUGACCAGCCCCCCGGGGACUGAGACACGGUCCGGACUCCUACGGGAGGCAGCAGUGGGGAAUAUUGCACAAUGGGCGUAAGCCCGAUGCAGCCAUGCCGCGUGUAUGAAGAAGGCCGUCGGGUUGUAAAGUACGUUCAGCGAGGAGGCGUUACUCGCAGAAGAAGCACCGGCUAACUCCGUGCCAGCAGCCGCGGUAAUUC
rnacentral:rRNA from 1 species